rnacentral:rRNA from 1 species
UGGGUAACCUGCCUCAAAGAGGGGAAUAGCCUCCCGAAAGGGAGAUUAAUACCGCAUAAUAUGUUUAGGUCGCAUGACUUUAACAUCAAAGGAUUUUCUUUUAGAAAUUCCACUUUGAGAUGGACCCGCGGCGCAUUAGCUAGUUGGUGAGGUAACGGCUCACCAAGGCAACGAUGCGUAGCCGACCUGAGAGGGUGAUCGGCCACAUUGGAACUGAGACACGGUCCAGCUCCGUAGGAG